AUGCUCAAUUCAGCAGCACAUAUACUAAAAUUGGAACGAUACAGAGAUUAGCAGGGUCCCUUUGCAAGGAUGACACAAAUUCACGAAGCAUUCCGUAUUUUU
ensembl:snRNA Gm23940 U6 spliceosomal RNA